CUGCCUUCAUCAGCGAGGAGCGCUGGAAUCCGUUUAGCAGGAGCUACAGCUGAUGUUCAUUGUUAUGAUGUGCUAACAAAUAAGUGGUCAAGGCUCACUCCUCUUGGAGAGCCUCCAUCUCUGAGAGCUGCUCAUG